rnacentral:rRNA from 1 species
AUUGAACGCUGGCGGCAUGCCUUACACAUGCAAGUCGAACGGCAGCACGGACUUCGGUCUGGUGGCGAGUGGCGAACGGGUGAGUAAUGUAUCGGAACGUACCCUUCAGUGGGGGAUAACUAUCCGAAAGGAUAGCUAAUACCGCAUAUUCUCUGAGGAGGAAAGCGGGGGAUCGCAAGACCUCGCGCUGAUGGAGCGGCCGAUAUCAGAUUAGCUAGUUGGUGGGGUAAAGGCCUACCAAGGCGACGAACUGUAGCGGGUCUGAGAGGAUGAUCCGCCACACUGGGACUGAGACACGGCCCAGACUCCUACGGGAGGCAGCAGGGGGGAAUAUUGCGCAAUGGGGGCAACCCUGACGCAGCCAUGCCGCGUGUGUGAAGAAGGCCUUCGGGUUGUAAAGCACUUUCAGAGGGGAGGAAAGGGCGCUGGCUAAUAUCCAGCGCAGUUGACGCUGCCCUCAGAAGAAGCACCGGCUAAUUCCGUGCCAGCCGCCGCAGUAAUAC